rnacentral:rRNA from 1 species
CGUGUAGGCUGCUCGGAAAGUCGGAUGUGAAAGCCCUGGGCUCAACCUAGGAAGUGCAUUCGAAACUUCUGAGCUGGAGUGCUGGAGAGGAAGGCGGAAUUCUCGGUGUAGAGGUGAAAUUCGUAGAUAUCGAGAGGAACACCGGUGGCGAAGGCGGCCUUCUGGACAGUUACUGACGCUGAGACGCGAAAGCGUGGGGAGCAAACA